AUUCUAAUGCAUUUGCUGGUGGUUUCAGGGAACAUUCAACGCUGUCGGUGAGUUUGAUGCUAUUGGAGAAACCAUCGACCGUUGAUUGUACCUUGUAGCUAACCUCCUCCACCUGCCUUUGG
rnacentral:pre_miRNA from 17 species